AGCAAGUUAUAAGAGCUUCCAAAUCACACACAGAAGAGAAAAUAGCACGGUCAGUAAAAAAGGGGAUAAAACAUUUUUUAGAUACAUAAAUGAGAAAAGAAAAGUAAAACAAGGAUUAGUUAGAUUAAAAACAAAAGAAGGAAGGUAUGUAGAAGAGGAUAAAGGUCUAACUGACUGCCUCAAUUAAUAUUUUUUGUUCAGUAUUUACAGAUGAAAAUGAAGGAAAGGGGCCUCAGUUAGGAAAAAGGAUAAAUGAGUCAUUUAUUACACGCAACUUUACAGAGGAAGAGGUUCUAUUUCAACAGUCAAAAGUAAAGACAAAUAAGUCAAUGGGACCUGAUGGAAUACACCCAAAGCUGUUAAAAGAGAGGAAAGACGAGACAGGGGGGAUAUGAUAGAAACAUUUAAAUGCAUAAAGGGAAUCAACACAGUAAAGGAGG